CGCGUAGGCGGUUUUUUAAGUCAGAUGUGUAGUCCCCGAGCUCAACUUGGGAACUGCAUCUGAGACUGGAAGGCUAGAGUACUGGAGAGGGUGGUGGAAUUCCUCGUGUAGCGGUGAAAUGCGUAGAGAUGAGGAGGAACACCAGUGGCGAAGGCGGCCACCUGGACAGUAACUGACGCUGAGGCGCGAAAGUGUGGGUAGCAAACAGGAUUAGAUACCCUGGUAGUCCACGCUGUAAACGAUGAACACUUGGUGUGGAGGGAGUUGACCCCUUCCGUGCCGGAGCUAACGCGUUAAGUGUUCCGCCUGGGGAGUACGGUCGCAAGGCUGAA
rnacentral:rRNA from 1 species